UACGGGGGGGGGCAGGCGUUUGUUCGGAAUUACUGGGCGUAAAGGGUUUGUAGGUGGCUCGCUAAGUCAGACGUGAAAUCCCUCAGCUUAACUGAGGAAGUGCGCCCGAAACUGCAGAGCUUGAGUGCCGGAGAGGAGGGUGGGAUUCUCGAAGUAGAGGUGAAAUGCGUAGAUAUCUGGAGGAACACCGGUGGCGAAGGCGGCAUCCUGGACCGAGAUUGACGCUGAGGCGCGAAAGCCAGGGGAGCAAACGGG
rnacentral:rRNA from 1 species